rnacentral:rRNA from 1 species
CCUACGGGGGGCAGCAGUGGGGAAUAUUGGACAAUGGGCGAAAGCCUGAUCCAGCCAUGCCGCGUGUGUGAAGAAGGCCUUCGGGUUGUAAAGCACUUUCAGUGGGGAAGAAAGCCUUGGGGCUAAUACCCUCGAGGAAGGACAUCACCCACAGAAGAAGCACCGGCUAACUCCGUGCCAGCAGCCGCGGUAAUACGGAGGGUGCGAGCGUUAAUCGGAAUUACUGGGCGUAAAGCGCGCGUAGGCGGUCUGAUAAGCCGGUUGUGAAAGCCCCGGGCUCAACCUGGGAACGGCAUCCGGAACUGUCAGGCUAGAGUGCAGGAGAGGAAGGUAGAACUCCCGGUGUAGCGGUGAAAUGCGUAGAGAUCGGGAGGAAUACCAGUGGCGAAGGCGGCCUUCUGGACUGACACUGACGCUGAGGUGCGAAAGCGUGGGUAGCAAACAGGAUUAGAUACCCUAGUAGUC